rfam:Ictidomys tridecemlineatus contig088005, whole genome shotgun sequence.
GGGAUUAUGGCUCAGUGGUAGAGCGCUCACCUAGGAUGGGUGGGACCUGGGUUCGAUCCUCAGUACCA